rnacentral:rRNA from 1 species
UGGGGAAUAUUGCACAAUGGGCGCAAGCCUGAUGCAGCCAUGCCGCGUGUGUGAAGAAGGCCUUCGGGUUGUAAAGCACUUUCAGCGGGGAGGAAGGCGAUAAGGUUAAUAACCUCAUCGAUUGACGUUACCCGCAGAAGAAGCACCGGCUAACUCCGUGCCAGCAGCCGCGGUAAUACGGAGGGUGCAAGCGUUAAUCGGAAUUACUGGGCGUAAAGCGCACGCAGGCGGUCUGUCAAGUCGGAUGUGAAAUCCCCGGGCUCAACCUGGGAAAUGCAUUCGAAACUGGCAGGCUAGGGUCUUGGAGAGGGGGGUAGAAUUCCAGGUGUAGCGGUGAAAUGCGUAGAGAUCUGGAGGAAUACCGGUGGCGAAGGCGGCCCCCUGGACAAAGACUGACGCUCAGGUGCGAAAGGGUGGGGAGCAAACAGG